AGUUCGAUCAUGGCUCAGAUUGAACGCUGGCGGGAUGCUUUAUACAUGCGGGAAAUGAACGGCAGCACGGACUUCGGUCUGGUGGCGAGUGGCGAACGGGUGAGUAAUGUAUCGGAACGUGCCUAGUAGCGGGAUAACUACGCGAAAGCGCAGCUAAUACCGCAUAUUGCCCUUCGGGGGAAAGCGGGGACCCGGGCCCCGCACCAUUAGAGCGUGGCCGAUAUCGGAUUAGCUAGUUGGUGUAACGGCUCACCAAGGCGACGAUCCGUAGCUGGUUUGAGGACGACCAGCCACACUGGGAUCACACGGCCCAGACUCCUACGGGAGGCAGCAGUGGGGAAUUUUGGACAAUGGGGGAAACCCUGAUCCAGCCAUCCCGCGUGUGCGAUGAAGGCCUUCGGGUUGUAAAGCACUUUUGGCAGGAAAGAAACGGCACGGGAUAAUACCCCCGUGCAACUGACGGUACCUGCAGAAUAAGCACCGGCUAACUACGCCAGCAGCCGCGGUAAUACGUAGGGUGCAAGCGUUAAUCGGAAUUACUGGGCGUAAAAGCGUGCGCAGGCGGUUCGGAAAGAAAGAUGUGAAAUCCCAGAGCUUAACUUUGGAACUGCAUUUUAACUACCGAGCUAGAGUAAAUAGAGGGGGAGUGGAAUUCGCGUGUAGCAGUGAAAUGCGUAGAUAUGCGGAGGAACACCGAUGGCGAAGGCAGCCUCCUGGGAUAACACUGACGCCCGCGCACGAAAGCGUGGGGAGCAAACAGAUUAGAUACCCUGGUAGUCCACGCCCUAAACGAUGUCAACUAGCUGUUGGGGCCUCCGGGUCGGUAGCGCAGCUAACGCGUGAAGUUGACCGCCCGGGGAGUACGGUCGCAAGAUUAAAACUCAAAGGAAUUGACGGGGACCCGCACAAGCGGUGACAUGUGGAUUAAUUCGAUGCAACGAAAACCUACCUACCCUGACAUGUCUGGAAUCCCGAAGAGAUCAGAGUGCUCGCAAGAGAACCGAACACAGGUGCUGCAUGGCUGUCGUCAGCUCGUGUCGUGAGAUGUUGGGUUAAGUCCUCGGCAACGAGCGCAACCCUUGUCAUUAGUUGCUACGAAAGGGCACUCUAAUGAGACUGCCGGCAGACAAAACCGGAGGAAGGUGGGGAUGACGUCAAGUCCUCAUGGCCCUUAUGUAGUCACACGCCAUGGGUCGGUCGGGACAGGAGGGCCGCCAACCGCGAGGGAGCCAAUCCCAGAAACUGACUGUAGUCUUGACGCAGUUCCUGCAACCUGACUGUGUGAAGUCGGAAUCGCUAGUAAUCGCGGAUCAGCAUGUCGGUGUAAUGACGUUCCCCGGUCUUGCAUAUAAUAACGCCCACGCAGACCAUGGGAGUGGUUUUACCAGAAGAGUUAGCCUUGAACCGGCGAGGGCGAUUACUACUGGUGAGAUCAUUGACUGGGGUGAAGUCGUAACAGCGC
rnacentral:rRNA from 1 species